GAAAGUUUGGGGAUCGAAGAC
rnacentral:misc_RNA from 1 species